GACGAACCGAGCGAACGUUGUUCGGAAUCACUGGGCGUAAAGGGUGCGCAGGCGGCCAAGUGUGUGAGGCGUGAAAGCCUGGAGCUUAACUCCAGAAUUGCACCUCAAACUACUUGGCUAGAGCAUUGGAGAGGGUAGCAGAAUUCAUGGUGUAGCAGUGAAAUGCGUAGAUAUCGUAAGGAAGACCAGUGGCGAAGGCGGGUCUCUGGACAGUUCCUGACGCUGAGGCGCGAAAGCUAGGGGAGCAAACGGG
rnacentral:rRNA from 1 species